rnacentral:rRNA from 1 species
UACCAACCCCGCGAGUGGUCGGGACGUUUAUUGGGCCUAAAGCGUCCGUGGCCGGCCCGGUAAGUCCCUCCUUAAAGCCCACGGCUCAACCGUGGGAGCGGAGGCAUACUGCCAGGCUAGGGGGCGGGAGAGGCCGGGGGUACACCUGGGGUAGGGGCGAAAUCCUAUAAUCCCAGGAGGACGACCAGUGGCGAAGGCGCCCGGCUAGCACGCGCCCGACGGUGAGGGACGAAAGCUGGGGGAGCAAAGGGG